rnacentral:rRNA from 1 species
UACGUAGGGUGCAAGCGUUGUCCGGAAUUAUUGGGCGUAAAGAGCGCGCAGGCGGCUGGUCAAGUCCGAUGUGAAAGCUCCCGGCUUAACUGGGAAAUUGCAUCGGAAACUGAUCGGCUAGAGUCCGGGAGAGGAGAGUGGAAUUCCUGGUGUAGCGGUGAAAUGCGCAGAUAUCAGGAAGAACACCCGUGGCGAAAGCGGCUCUCUGGAACGGUACUGACGCUGAGACGCGAAAGCGUGGGGAGCGAACAGG